rnacentral:rRNA from 1 species
ACAGGCUUAACACAUGCAAGUCGAGGGGCAUCAGGAAGAAAGCUCGCUUUCUUUGCUGGCGACCGGCGCACGGGUGAGUAACACGUAUCCAACCUGCCCUUUACUCGGGGAUAGCCUUUCGAAAGAAAGAUUAAUACCCGAUGGCAUAAUGAUUCCGCAUGGUUUCAUUAUUAAAGGAUUCCGGUAAAGGAUGGGGAUGCGUUCCAUUAGGUUGUUGGUGAGGUAACGGCUCACCAAGCCUUCGAUGGAUAGGGGUUCUGAGAGGAAGGUCCCCCACAUUGGAACUGAGACACGGUCCAAACUCCUACGGGAGGCAGCAGUGAGGAAUAUUGGUCAAUGGGCGCUAGCCUGAACCAGCCAAGUAGCGUGAAGGAUGAAGGCUCUAUGGGUCGUAAACUUCUUUUAUAUAAGAAUAAAGUGCAGUAUGUAUACUGUUUUGUAUGUAUUAUAUGAAUAAGGAUCGGCUAACUCCGUGCCAGCAGCCGCGGUAAUACGGAGGAUCCGAGCGUUAUCCGGAUUUAUUGGGUUUAAAGGGAGCGUAGGUGGACUGGUAAGUCAGUUGUGAAAGUUUGCGGCUCAACCGUAAAAUUGCAGUUGAUACUGUCAGUCUUGAGUACAGUAGAGGUGGGCGGAAUUCGUGGUGUAGCGGUGAAAUGCUUAGAUAUCACGAAGAACUCCGAUUGCGAAGGCAGCUCACUGGACUGCAACUGACACUGAUGCUCGAAAGUGUGGGUAUCAAACAGGAUUAGAUACCCUGGUAGUCCACACAGUAAACGAUGAAUACUCGCUGUUUGCGAUAUACAGUAAGCGGCCAAGCGAAAGCAUUAAGUAUUCCACCUGGGGAGUACGCCGGCAACGGUGAAACUCAAAGGAAUUGACGGGGGCCCGCACAAGCGGAGGAACAUGUGGUUUAAUUCGAUGAUACGCGAGGAACCUUACCCGGGCUUAAAUUGCAGUGGAAUGAUGUGGAAACAUGUCAGUGAGCAAUCACCGCUGUGAAGGUGCUGCAUGGUUGUCGUCAGCUCGUGCCGUGAGGUGUCGGCUUAAGUGCCAUAACGAGCGCAACCCUUAUCUUUAGUUACUAACAGGUUAUGCUGAGGACUCUAGAGAGACUGCCGUCGUAAGAUGUGAGGAAGGUGGGGAUGACGUCAAAUCAGCACGGCCCUUACGUCCGGGGCUACACACGUGUUACAAUGGGGGGUACAGAAGGCAGCUAGCGGGUGACCGUAUGCUAAUCCCAAAAGCCUCUCUCAGUUCGGAUCGAAGUCUGCAACCCGACUUCGUGAAGCUGGAUUCGCUAGUAAUCGCGCAUCAGCCACGGCGCGGUGAAUACGUUCCCGGGCCUUGUACACACCGCCCGUCAAGCCAUGGGAGCCGGGGGUACCUGAAGUACGUAACCGCAAGGAUCGUCCUAGGGUAAAACUGGUGACUGGGGCUAAGUC